ACGCUCGACACCUACUGGAGGCAGCAGUGGGGAAUAUUGCACAAUGGAGGAAACUCUGAUGCAGCGACGCCGCGUGAGCGAAGAAGUAUUUCGGUAUGUAAAGCUCUAUCAGCAGGGAAGAAAAAGGACGGUACCUGACUAAGAAGCUCCGGCUAAAUACGUGCCAGCAGCCGCGGUAAUCUGAGCGGGCUGGCAAGGC
rnacentral:rRNA from 1 species